rnacentral:lncRNA from 1 species
UUCCUGACUAGGACAACUCUGUACUCAUAAUGCCAUGCUUUGUCAUCAUCCAUUUUCAUCAUCAUUAUCAUCACAUCAACACUCCCCCAACUACCACCCUACUCACCACCACCACCACCAUCAUCAUCAUCAGAAACUAACUGCUGAUUGAAAAAGUACCUCAAUACUACAGGGGAGCCCUGGUCUUACCAAUGUGGAUAGUCCCUCCAAACUACAGGCUGCAACCCAUCCUUGUCUUUUGGCCCUUUGUUUCUCUUGUCAAUAUUCGUGAAGAAAUACAUGUCCAAAAAAACCCGACUGUGACAUCCAGAACACUUAUGUCCUGGUGUUCUUCACUCGAGCAUUUUGUGCCUUGAGAGAAAAAGGCACGCGAGGCGGCUGUGCAUAACUGGCUGGCAACCCAACAUUCUCCAUUCCUACAAGACUGGCUUCAAAAAAGAAGUAUUGAGAAUACUUACUGAGACAAAGGUGAACCCAGCGCCACCCCCUUCGAAUGUAAUGUGGGCAAGAAAUGGUCAUUAAAUUCAAUAUAACAAGCUUUUAAUAAACCCCACUUUGGGGCUAGAUUCUAUGAACA